AGUUUCUUUUGUACGAUUAGAAGCGUUACCUGAAGUAAAUCAUCCUCUCAUCUAACAAUUAAUACAUUUAUAUCGAGCCAUAUCAUAUUUUCCAAUUGCAGAACAAAUCAAAAUAUCGUUUCAUUAGUGUAAAAGCAGUAGUGCACCUACUACAUAUUUAGCGCAUAGUUCAAUUUUUAAAUGUGCUAGUGAUCGCUACGAGUAAUUGCAGUGAAAAGUGUGUUUUAAAAAUUACAUCACGGCAUAUAACUGACGCAAUUUUAAUUAGUUUCACUUGAAGAUAAUGCUGGAUGUUCUCGGAUCGUUACUGAAUGUGUGCGCAAAAACUGAUACAAACGAACCACACAGUUAUUUCGAAAAAAAUAUUAAAUGAUACAUAAAAAAUGGCAUUCUAAACGAAACGUGACAGAAACAAAAAACAAAAAGGAUUCUUUAAAGUUUCAAAUUUGUCGACGACACAACGAUUAAUAUUCAUCGUGCGGAAAACAUGGCUUUCUAAGGAAAUUCUCACCCUUUUGAAAAAUAAUCGAACAGAAGCAGAAGCAAAUGCAAGAAAAGCGGAAGCGGGUCUGUCCCCGUAAAUCUUCCUCGCGAGGGCAUUAAGACCGCUGACAUUUUGGCUCUGUGAAAGCACGGGAAACGUGUAACCGAUGUUGUAGGUCGUACACGCAUCCCCGUUAUUACGCGUGGCACACGGGCUCAAAGCGGUUGGGCUUGCAUAAAUCUCUGGAGAAAUUAAAGUGCACCGCUCGGCCGCUCUACAAAACGGAAUUGUGUAGCCGUAUGAAAGAAAAAUAAUUUGUGUACACCAGAAGUCGCGGCACCGCAUUUCCCAGCGUUACCAGGCGUCCUUCUAUCUCUAGUAAUCGGUUUUCGUGUAUUCAACGUACUCGUUGUUCGACGAUACAUAGUGACAAAUAUCUAGCUGAAUGUCACGUUGAAUAGGAAAUACCAGGACUUCGAAUUAAAGGAAAUAAAGUAUGGUAAAA
rnacentral:lncRNA from 1 species